GGGGGGAGGAUCCAGCUCGACUCUCUUUUCUGCUUCCACCAAAGGCUGAUCAAAACACACCUCCGUCCUUCUUCCUCUCUUCUCAAGUCGACAGUCCAAAUGCCUCUCUGAGUAUUUUGAGGUCUCAUCAGAACUAAUUUCUGGCCCACUUUUUCUCCUUGGCAGAGCAAAAUGGGGCCAAGGCCUGUCAGCGAUGAGACAAGAUGCGACGAUUCUCUCGUAAACCUUGAGGAGCCCCCGCCCCCACUUUGACUCACGCAUGCCCGGCGGCGUCGGGGAGGAAAGUUGCCUCAUUGCUAUUCUGUCUAUUUUUAUUCGCCUUCUGCGUGGCUUUGCUUCUGCAGAGUUCGUCUAGUGCCCCCCCCUCCAAAAGGAAAAGCGCCGAUUUGAUCCAGCGCAUCUCGGUUGCAAGUAGGCCAUCAGAUGGCAUGCAUGAGGUGAGCCACACACGCAUCUCCUCAAACGU